GGUGAGGAAUACAUCGGAAUCUACUUUUUCGUGGGGGAUAACGUAGGGAAACUUACGCUAAUACCGCAGACGACCUUCGGGUGAAAGCAGGGGACCUUCGGGCCUUGCGCGAUUGAAUGAGCCGAUGUCGGAUUAGCUAGUUGGCGGGGUAAAGGCCCACCAAGGCGACGAUCCGUAGCUGGUCUGAGAGGAUGAUCAGCCACACUGGAACUGAGACACGGUCCAGACUCCUACGGGAGGCAGCAGUGGGGAAUAUUGGACAAUGGGCGCAAGCCUGAUCCAGCCAUACCGCGUGGGUGAAGAAGGCCUUCGGGUUGUAAAGCCCUUUUGUUGGGAAAGAAAAGCAGCGGGCUAAUACCUUGCUGUUCUGACGGUACCCAAAGAAUAAGCACCGGCUAACUUCGUGCCAGCAGCCGCGGUAAUACGAAGGGUGCAAGCGUUACUCGGAAUUACUGGGCGUAAAGCGUGCGUAGGUGGUUGUUUAAGUCUGUUGUGAAAGCCCUGGGCUCAACCUGGGAACUGCAGUGGAAACUGGAUGACUAGAGUGUGGUAGAGGGUAGCGGAAUUCCCGGUGUAGCAGUGAAAUGCGUAGAGAUCGGGGAGGAACAUCCAUGGCGAAGGCAGCUACCUGGACCAACACUGACACUGAGGCACGAAAGCGUGGGGAGCAACAGGAUUA
rnacentral:rRNA from 1 species